GGGAGUAUGACCCAAGUGGUAGGGUACCUGCCUAGCAAGUACAAGGUAGUCCAGAGUUCAAACUCUAGUACUGCCA
rnacentral:tRNA from 1 species